UUUAAUUAUUGAUCUAUCACAGUACAGUAUUUGAGAAUAGUGCUCUGAAGGAUGUCCAUAAGACUGUAAAAUAUAGGGUCAGAAUUUGGCCAUUUGGUCCAUCGAAUCUGCUCUGCCAUUCCAUGAAGGCUGAUUUAUAACCCCUCUCAAUCCCAUUCUCCUGCCUUUUCCCUGUAACCUUUGACACCCUGACUAGUAAGCAACUUACCAAUCUCCACUUUAAAUGACUUGGCAAUGAAUGCCACAGAUUCACCAUCCCCGGCUAAAGGGAUUCCUCUGUUCUUAAUGGACAUCCCUCUAUUCUGAGACUGGGCCCUCUGAUCCUAGACUCGCCCACUAUAGGAAACACUCCCAACACAUCCAUUCUACCUAGGCCUUUCAAUAUUCGAUAGCUGUCAAUGAGAUCACCCCUCAUUCUUCUGAACUCCUUUGAGUACAGGUCCAGAACCGUGAAACAUUCCUCUUAUAUUAAUUCUUUCAUUCCCAGAAUUAUUCUCGUGAACAUCCUCUGGAUCCUCACCAAUGCCAGCAUAUCUUUCCUUCGAUAAGGGACCCAACCCCAAACUGGUCAAAAUGCCCCCAGUGUGGUCCGACCAAUGCCUUAUGAAGCCUCAGUAUGACAUCCUUGCUCCUAUAUUUUAGUCACCUCGAAAUGAAUGCUACUAUUUCAUUUGCCUUCCUUACCUACAAGAUAACCUUUAGGGAAUUCUGCACAAGGACUCCCAAAUCCCUUUGCAACUUUGUGUUUUGAAUUUUCAUCCCACUUAGAACAUAGUCUAUGCUUUUAUUCCUUCAACCAAAGUGCAUGACCAUAUAUUUCCCGACACCAUAUUCCAUCUGCCACUUCUUUGGCCGUUUCUCCAAGGAGUCUUAAGUCCUUCUGCAGACUCCCUACUUCCUCAAUACUCCCUGCACCUCCACUGAUCUUCAAAUCUGAUCACAAAGUCAUCAAUUCCAUCAUACAAAUCACUGACAAUGUGUAAAGAAAUGGUCCCACCACUAAUCUCUGAAAUACUGUACCACUAGUCACCAGCAGCCAAUCAGAAAAGGCCCCCUUUAUUCUCACUUUUUGCCUCUUUCUGGUCAGCCAAUCUUCUGUCCAUGCUAGUAUAUUUUCUGUAAUGUCUUGUUAAGUAGCCUAAUGUGUGGCACCUUGUCAAGGCCUUCUGAAAAUCAAGUAAACAACUUCCACUGACUCUCCUUUGUCCAUCCUUCCUCUUAUUUCCUCAACAGAUUUGCCGGAAGGAAACUAGAGAAGUUAAUGAAUGGCAUUCAGCUAGCAAUGAAGCCCUGGACCUCAGACCUAACAAAAUCUCUUGUUCUGCAAACUCGUGUUUCUCCAGAAAUUGCUCUGUCAUGCUAGAUUCGGUCAUAGAGAAGAUAUAUCUUCGAUGACAGGUAAAGAUUGUAAGUCGUAGCGCUCAGGAACAUAUUCCCACUUCAAGGUGUCGUCUUGUAAAAGUGUUUGCCAUUUCCCAUAUCUAAUUAUGGUAGCUCUAAAUAUUGGUAAUUUGCUAACAUUUUUCAAAGCCCCAUACACUGUAUAAUAAUUGCUUUGUUCCCAUGCAGUGGUCUGACUGCAAUAAAUGUAUGGAAUACCUUAGGGAGACAUCAUUCUGAGGCAGUACAUUUCUGUUCUGUUGGGGUGAAAUUAUUUGAGGCAUAGUGUGUAGGGGCUUUUGUUUCUUCUCCCUCAUUAUAACAGGUGGCACAGCAGUUUGUGGAGAAACUUGAAUUCGCAGAACAAGAGAUUUUGUUAGGUCUUUUGUCUGGAGGUCUAUUGCUUGCUGACCUGCAUCCAUCAAUUUAUCUAGUGCCUCACGAUUAUCUGAGGACCGUGCAGUCGAUGACCAAUCACCAUCAUCUAGUCAGCCUUUGCUACAUUGAACAUUGACAAGUUAAAUCAAGAAGGUUCUUUUAUCAAAGCACCUUGUCUACAGUUUCCUUUUUGGGAUUGCUUUCCUCUAUGGUCAGAAAUAUGCCAUUAUUUCUGACAAAUCCAACAAGAAGCAUCCGAUGUUCCUAUUAGAAGCGCUAGUCUACUACAGUCUGGGGCAAGCUAGUGUAAAAACUUUACAGCUACUUCUUUUGUUUAUUUAAUCCCAUAUAUUUGUACAAGAACUUUAUAAGGUAGGCACCCCUGUUUCCAUCCAAGGAGUAAGUGUGGACAUGGUGGAGGAUUACAAAUACCUGGGGAUACGAAUGGACAAUAAACUGGACUGGUCAAAGAACACUGAGGCUGUCUACAAGAAGGGUCAGAGCCGUCUCUAUUUCCUGAGGAGACUGGGGUCCUUUAACAUCUGCCGGACGAUGCUGAGGAUGUUCUACAAGGCUGUGGUGGCCAGUGCUAUCAUGUUUGCUGUUGUGUGCUGGGGCAGCAGGCUGAGGGUAGCAGACACCAACAGAAUCAACAAACUCAUUCGUAAGGCCAGUGAUGUUGUGGGGGUGGAACUGGACUCUCUGAUGGUGGUGUCUGAAAAGAGGAUGCCGUCCAAGUUGCAUGCCAUCUUGGACAAUGACUCCCAUCCACUUCAUAAUGUAUUGGUUAGGCACAGGAGUGCAUUCAGCCAGAGACAUUCCACCGAGAUGUAACACUGAGCGUCAUAGCAAGUCAUUCCUGCCUGUGACCAUCGAACUUUACAACUCCUCCCUCGGAAUGUCAGACACCCUGAGCCAAUAGGCUGGUACUGGACUUAUUUCCACUUGGCAUGAUUAACUUAUUAUUAUUUAAUUAUUUAUGGUUUUAUAUUGCUAUAGCUCUUCACCAUUCUUGGUUGGUGCGGCUGUAAUGAAACCCAAUUUCCCUCGGGAUCAAUAAAGUAUGUCUGUCUGUC